CACAGUGCCUGGAUGGCCGCUUAAUAGCCUCUGCACACUGAGCCCAUCCCGGGGGAAUGGUGGGAUUUUUUGACAAAUGUGAAACUCCGAUUCACACUGCCACCAUCCACCAUCCACCAUCCAACAUCCAUCAAAAACAGCUGAUGCCAAUAACAAGUUCAUUAAAUUUGCGCGGAAGAUUUAUUAAUUCUUAAUAAUGGAUGAUAGAGAUAUAGCAAUUAUUUCGGCUGUGGUUGCACAGCAAAAUAUUUUCUUGCACCAACUAAUAAUGUUGAUUAAUGAUGAUGACGAUGAGGACUUUAACUUUGACGAAGAUGAGAUGCUUGACUGGGUCACUGCCAUAAAAACACAAAAGCCAGGAAGGUUAUGGUCGUAUAAGCGGUUCGGGACAUUUUGGGAGAAAGAUGUACCAGAAAACAACGAGGCGUUUUUCAAAGAGAGUUUCCGAAUGGAGAGGCACUGCUUUGAUAUUUUAGUGAAUCGGCUUGAAGUGCUGCGAAAGAAGGACACCAACUGCCGAGCUGCAAUUCCUUUGGAAAAGCGCAUCGCCAUUGCGCUAUACACUUUGGGCUCGUCCUCUGAGUACCGAACAGUUGGC